rnacentral:rRNA from 1 species
GACGAACGCUGGCGGCGUGACUAAUACAUGCACGUAGAACAGUUGCGAAAGGGUGAGUAACGCGCAGGUAACUGCCACAUGGCGGGGGAUAACAAUUGGAAACGAUAGCUACUACCGCAUACCGUGAGACGGACCAGCGUUGUAUUAGCUAGUUGGUGAGGUAAAGGCUAACCAAGGCGACGAUACAUAGCCGACCUGAGAGGGUGGUCGGCCACACUGGGGCUGAAAAAGGGCCCAUGCUCCUACGCGAGGCAGAAGUAGGGAUUCUUUGGCACUGGUCGGAAGUCUGACCGAGCAACCCCGCGUGUGUGAAGAAAGUGCUCGGCUCGUAAAGCUAUGUUGUUAGAGAAGCGGUAACUAACCAGAAAGGGCCGGCUAACUACGUGCCAGCAGCCGCGGUAAUUC